rnacentral:rRNA from 1 species
AGUGAACCGGGAAGAGCUCAAAUUUGAAAUCUGGCGUCCUCAGGGCGUCCGAGUUGUAAUCUAUAGAGGCGUUUUCCGUGCCGGACCGUGUCCAAGUUCCUUGGAACAGGAUAUCAAAGAGGGUGACAAUCCCGUACUUGACACGACGACCGGUGCUCUGUGAUACGUCUUCUACGAGUCGAGUUGUUUGGGAAUGCAGCUCAAAAUGGGUGGUGAGUUCCAUCUAAAGCUAAAUAUUGGCGAGAGACCGAUAGCGAACAAGUACCGUGAGGGAAAGAUGAAAAGCACUUUGGAAAGAGAGUUAAACAGUACGUGAAAUUGUUGAAAGGGAAACGAUUGAAGUCAGUCGUGACCGAGAGGCUCAGCCGGUUCUGCCGGUGUAUUCCCCUCGGUCGGGUCAACAUCAGUUUUGUCCGGUGGAUAAGGGCGGUAGGAAGGUGGCACCCUCGGGUGUGUUAUAGCCUGCCGUCGCAUACAUCGGGUGAGACUGAGGAACGCAGCUCGCCUUUAUGGCCGGGGUUCGCCCACGUCCGAGCUUAGGAUGUU